UACGUAGGGGGCAAGCGUUGUCCGGAAUUAUUGGGCGUAAAGAGCGCGUAGGCGGUCCGAUAAGUCGGCUGUGAAAGUCCAGGGCUCAACCCUGGAAAGCCGGCCGAUACUGUCGGACUAGAGUUCGGAAGAGGCGAGUGGAAUUCCCCAGUGUAGAGGUGAAAUUCGUAGAUAUUGGGAAGAACACCGGUGGCGAAGGCGGCGACCUGGUCCGAUACUGACGCUGAGGAGCGAAAGCGUGGGGAGCAAACAGG
rnacentral:rRNA from 1 species